UACGAAGGGGGCUAGCGUUGUUCGGAAUUACUGGGCGUAAAGCGUAUGCAGGCGGAUCGUUAAGUCGGGGGUGAAAUCCCGAGGCUCAACCUCGGAACUGCCUUCGAUACUGGCGAUCUUGAGUCCGGGAGAGGUGAGUGGAACUCCGAGUGUAGAGGUGAAAUUCGUAGAUAUUCGGAAGAGCACCAGUGGCGAAGGCGGCUCACUGGCCCGGUACUGACGCUGAGGUGCGAAAGCGUGGGGAGCAAACAGG
rnacentral:rRNA from 1 species